rnacentral:piRNA from 1 species
CUCAGAGAACUCAGAAAUGGUCAAGU